rnacentral:lncRNA from 1 species
UCUUUUUCCUUAAUAGUUUCAGUCGUCAAGAUUAUAGUUUAGUCCGAAAAGUGUCAUUUUAGCGAUCAUUUUAUGAGCUUACAAUUAGUUCCCUUGUUAGUGAAGAACUUUGACUUGAUAGCCCAAAACAAGCUUCAGAUUCAGAUUCAGCGACUCCAAAAACAAGAAUAUCAUUAGUCCAGUUCGCCGGACUUUUUUUUUGUGUGCCUGUGUAAUCAAUUUUUACAUUUAAGAUCGUCUUAAGUAUUUUUUUUAAUGUCCAAUUAAAGCCAUAUUAGCAUUUUAAGACAUUAUUUAAGACUUGAUCUUAAAGUAAGAUUCAAUUAUGAAUAUUAACCAUAAAUAUCUGCUAGAGACGAAUUUCUAUUGUAAUAGUUACAAUUACAAUUAAAAUAAGAUAAAAAUGAUUCUUUAUUUCGCCAAUGAACAAUUAAAAUUGUAGGUAGUAUUAGUUCGACCUUACUGGCUAAUUUUAUUCAAAAAUCAAUAAUCGCAACGUUUCAACCCUCGAUUUGGUUCCUUAUCAAGUGUGAGAUGUUACGAUAAAUUACUAUAACUCACGCAAGUUUUAUGGCAUGUGCCCAAGUAUGUCAUCUAUAAAGACAAAUUAAUUUGAUAACUUAUUAGUUCAACUAAUUAUCUGCAAUAAACUUACAUCUGUGUAAACGAUGGUCAAAACGAAACUUACAAUUAGCGUGUGUCAAAUUGAACAAAAUUAAUUUCACAAAUCUUAGAAUAUCGUCCGCAGUUGUGUGGCAUGUCUGUUGGAGUCACAGUACGUUACAAUAGUGAGGAGAUACAGCUUACAGUGUAUAUAAAAUAAACAAAAUAAAGGUCGCUAAAACAAAGCUAACUACUGCUAAACAAUUCAACUAAACCAUUAUACAGCUUUAAUUACUUUAUCGUAUAUCGCAGCCAUAUUUUCAGUGUCUUUUUGUAAGUUGAUAGUAUGUUCGUGUUUUUUAAUAAAAUACAUUUCAUCUAUUUCGCGCUUUCUUGUCAUCGGUUCUGUACGAUCGCGCGUGAUCGUGUUCCCGCCUUUCGAGUCCUUUUGAUAGGUGAGAUGUUAGGAUAAUGGUAUAGGAAAUUUUAUUUUUAACUUAAAUCAAACACUGUAAUUAGGGCGAACCCAAGGAGGAAAAUCCGAGCCCGCAAGUGCGAGUCCGGCAGAAACCCCCUUUAGAAGUUUAUUGAACGAUUCACUACACUGAGCUUAGAACAAAAAGCGAAGACAAUAUGAAUCUGAGGUGCGAGCGUUUUCGUGGAUAUGCGAGAAUCGCAUCGAGAAGAUCGUUACGCAAGUGGGAGGCACAGCUCCCAUUAAGUCGGAUCGCGACGCAAAUCGGAAAGUUCGGCUCUCGUAAGUCGGAUCGCAAGGAUUGCGACGCAAAGCGGGAAGUUCGGUUCCCGUAAAGUCGGAUCGCAAGGAUCGCGACGCAAAGCGGGAGGUUCGGCUCCCUCGCGGGCCGGCUGCAGACACGGCCACGCGCGAAAGUAUGUCUGACGACUCGAAUAUCGCGUGAGACGCGUAAGCGCGACUACGUGGCCUAAGUCCGCACAGGCACGUGUUUGCUUAAGACGAAUUCAAUCGUAUCACUCAAAUCACUAUUACUCAAACACUGUUGUGCUCUAAAGAAAACUGUCACUCGAUCGGCUGCUCGGAAGAGAGUGAGAGCCAGGGCAGGGCAUAUAAUCUCUUAUGUAUUUUUCGUGAUCAGCGUUUGUGGCGCCGCCGCUGCAAGCGAACCAGCCGAACCGAACUAAAAUGCAAUAUGGCUGUCUAAAAUCAACAUGGCCGUAGUAAUGAGUUCCGUUCAACAAGCAGAGUGAAGUGAAGCAAAGCUUACGAGCGAAGAAGGAGGUUAUUUCUUACGAACGGAAUAAUUUGAAACUGAUGGUAUGUAAUCGCAAUUUCGCUUACAGAAACAGCUUUUUUCUCGCUGUGAUUUAAUUUGUGGUGUAUAAAGAGACUGUUUUUUUUUUAGACACCAGUAGCUGUUCCAGCUUUUGACUGUACACCAGCCUUCGACACCAUAUAAAAUAAAGUUGCUGUAGCUGCGUUUGGAAACAUCACCUGAGUGCUCUCGGGUAUCAUUCUAUGAUAGAGAGUUAUAUCGAAUCAUUAAUCAUGACAAUUACCUAUUUACUUUGUUUAUAUUGGAAGAGUGAAGAGAUUGUGAAAUGAUGAUUGGUGUAAAUUGUAAUAAUUAGCUUUCUUAACAGAUUCUAAAUUUAAUUUAUUUUUAAAAACAAUUUCUGAAAGAAACAAGAAUAUAUUUCUCUUCUUAAAUAAUGUUAAAUGUUUAUGCAGUAUUAGUCAAAGAUUAGAUUCUUACAUUCGGUAUUUGAAUUACUUAAUCGUGACAAAUUGUAGCAUAUUUUACUUAGUCCCAGCUUUCGUCUGAUGAAUUAAUAGCGAUUAAGCUUGGAUUUUCCACGUAUUAAACCAAAAGUUCUUACUUGAACUGAUUGUGAUACGUAGGCACGAGAAAACGACUAUCUCUUUUCACUCUCCCAAAAAAGUAUAUGCACAUAUUUAUAAUACUGUAAGCGUAUAUAAAAUAUUUUUUAUUUGCAAAUGUCAUAUGCAAAUUAUAACAUUUUAUUUGUUUGUACUAAUCAUGUAAUGGUUCCAUAAAACAUGUGAAAUAAAUAAGUUCAAAAAUUUUAUUAAAUAUUAUUAAUUUGGACGUGUACGUGUGUGCAUGUGUGUAUGUGCGGGUCAAUGGUAGGGAAGGGGAGUGAGGUGAAAAGGGAAAGAGCGGCCAUAUUGCAUUUCGGUUCGGCUGGUUCGCUUGCAGCGGCGGCGCCACAAACUGUUCACGAAAAAAGCAUGGGAGAUUACAGCUCCUGGUGAGAGUUCGUGGCUGGCCGGUUCACAAGCCCCCGUCUCCCUGCGGCAGCGUCGCCGGUGACGCUCGGGAAAAAUCUGGUGCGCUACAGAAACAGUAUUUGUCCGCGAAUGACUACCGAUCGACGUUACGUCUACCGACAAAUCCCGGGCAAGUCUGAGCUCGUCCAAUGAGAUUGGUUUUUGGCUGUGUUCCAACGGAACAGGUUCGUUAUGCAAAAUUCUGGGUUUAGACCAAUUGAAAUUAUGGUUAUGAGAUAUGCGAUGUUGGCUGACGAUCAAAUAAGUUAUUAAAUUAAUUUGUCUUUAUAGAUGACAUACUUGAGCACAUGCCAUAAAACUUGCGUGAGUUAUAGUAAUUUAUCGUAACAUCUCACACUUGAUAAGGACCCAAAUCGAGAGUUGAAACGUUGUGAUCAUUGAUUUUUGAAUAAAAUUAGCCUCGAACUAAUCUACAAUUACAAUUAAAAUAUUGGAAAAAUUGCGAUAUUUGCAAUUCAGAGAAUUCCUAAUCCCUUUUUAAAGAUUUUUC